rnacentral:misc_RNA from 1 species
AUUUUACGCAACUUUUGUUAGCGCGUAUGGAAAAGUUUGUUUCAGACGACGGUGUUUUGCGCGCAUGCAAAUUUUGGGACCCGGAGGUUAUAUAUGGGAGUGGGAUGAAUCGAUGGAAAAAAAGAAACAGUAUAGAAUUAUAGUGACUUCGGUUACUGUAAGUCUAGGCUGAAUCUUUGAUUCUGUUGAAUUAUAUAGGUAAGUCAGGCGAUGAACUAUUAGUUCGGGCGCCAAGGUUUAGUCUCUUUCUAGUUUUUAGGGCCUUGGGUUCUCCAAGUCACCCUAUAACUACCAAGAAACUAUUUCUACUUCCCUCACUCCCCCAGCGUACUCUAGGGUGCGCGCAGCUGGACUUUAAUUAGUCUGGUUUGGCCUUGCGAUUUAUCGCCCAAGUCUCGGGAUGACAACGUCUCCCCGAGCAAGGAGAAACAGUGGAUUACUAGGCAAUGCCAAAAAUCCCAAACUCAUGAUCACUCCGAUCUUUUUACUACGAGUCAGUGGACAACCCCAAAAAAAUAACUUCUUU